UUAGAGGUGUUUGUCCUCCUUGGACACGAAGAGUAAGCAUUCUCUAGUAACAUACAGUAGUCUUCUCAUCAGCCAUUUUGAAGCGAAAGAAGUGAAUAAGUGUCUUCAUUUGCCGGUAUGCGAAAUCUUUGCCAAGACAGAUUCUUGGACCAGCCUACAUACAUAGUCAAAGAAAGAAAACAUCUCAGGUUUUAUUAGAAAUGUAUUUCUUAAGGUUGGAACACGCCAUCCUUAAGCCAUCUCUCUGGCUUGAAAUCUUCCUCAUCUUGACCCUAAAUGUAAGUCAUCCUACACAUUGCUAUGUAGUAGAUAUUAUCUCCUUUGCUCACUCUAUGUCCAUGUCAUCAUUUUCUGCACUCCCCAUGCUCUCGGAAAGACAAAGGAAGAUCAAUAAAACCGGUUUGAUAUGGGUCCAGUUCCGGUUCUUGACAAAUGAAAUCGAAUUGAUUUAUUCAACUUUAUGUAUCGGCUUCUUCAAAAAUGGUGUUUUCUCAUUAUUAUCUGUAUUUCUGAUAUGAAUUGAUUCUUGCUGAAGGAAACUUUUUGCUCUGUGAAAAAUAUGAAUCGACACAAAAUUACCCUCCGCUCUGUAUUAAUGUUUCUC